UGCGUAGGCGGCUAUGUAAGUCAGAAGUGAAAGCUCUCAGCUUAACUGAGGAAUUGCUUUUGAUACUGCAUAGCUUGAAUAAGGUUGAGGUUGGCGGAAUGUGGCAUGUAGCGGUGAAAUGCAUAGAUAUGCCAUAGAACACCGAUUGCGAAGGCGGCUGACUAGACCUUUAUUGACGCUGAGGCACGAAAGCGUGGGGAGCGAACAGGAUUAGAUACCCUGGUAGUCC
rnacentral:rRNA from 1 species